rnacentral:rRNA from 1 species
CGCGUAGGCGGUUUUGUUAGUCGGAUGUGAAAUCCCCGGGCUUAACCUGGGAACUGCAUUCGAUACUGCAUAACUAGAGUAUGGUAGAGGGAAGUGGAAUUUCCGGUGUAGCGGUGAAAUGCGUAGAUAUCGGAAGGAACACCAGUGGCGAAGGCGACUUCCUGGGCCAAUACUGACGCUGAGGUGCGAAAGCGUGGGGAGCAAACA